CGUUCCCGGGCCUUGUACACACCGCCCGUCAAGUCAUGGAAGUUGGUUUUACCCAAAGACGCUGACCGAACCCGCAAGGGACGGAGGCGUUCAAGGUAAGGCCGAUGACUGGGACU
rnacentral:rRNA from 1 species